CCUACGGGAGGCAGCAGUGGGGAAUAUUGGGCAAUGGAGGAAACUCUGACCCAGCAACGCCGCGUGAAUGAUGAAGGUCUUCGGAUUGUAAAGUUCUUUUCUAAGGGAAGAAGAAAGUGACGGUACCUUAGGCAUAAGCCUCGGCUAACUACGUGCCAGCAGCCGCGGUAAUACGUAGGAGGCGAGCGUUAUCCGGAAUGACUGGGCGUAAGGGGUGCGUAGGUGGUUUGGCAAGUUAGUAGCGUAACUCCAAGGCUCAACCUUGGAACUACUACUAAAACUGUUGGACUUGAGUGCAGGAGGGGCAACCGGAAUUCCUAGUGUAGCGGUGGAAUGCGUAGAUAUUAGGAGGAACACCAGUGGCGAAGGCGGGUUGCUAGACUGUAACUGACACUGAGGCACGAAAGCGUGGGGAGCAAACAGGAUUAGAUACCUCAGUAGUC
rnacentral:rRNA from 1 species